UACGUAGGGUGCGAGCGUUGUCCGGAAUUAUUGGGCGUAAAGAGCUCGUAGGCGGUUUGUCGCGUCUGCUGUGAAAACCCGAGGCUCAACCUCGGGCCUGCAGUGGGUACGGGCAGACUAGAGUGCGGUAGGGGAGAUCGGAAUUCCUGGUGUAGCGGUGAAAUGCGCAGAUAUCAGGAGGAACACCGGUGGCGAAGGCGGAUCUCUGGGCCGUAACUGACGCUGAGGAGCGAAAGCAUGGGGAGCGAACAGG
rnacentral:rRNA from 1 species